rnacentral:lncRNA from 1 species
CAACCCCACUUUAAAUCCACUGUUAAAAAAUGAAACUUAAUUUCUACAAAUCAAAGUCCAAUAAUCAUAAUCUUCAUUUCCUCCUUAGGGAAAGAAAUGGUCUUCAUCAUAAUACUCUAAUCGAAACCUUAAUAUGCAAAACCCAUUCAAAUUAACAACACAUAUCAUUUAAACCAUGCCUAUUGCCCCAACAAAACCCAUGGUCUUGCGUGGCCAUGCCAAGCAAACCCAUGGCUGUUCGAAGCCAUUCCAAGCAAGCCCAUGGCCGCGAGCGGCCAUGCCAAGCAUACGAUGAUUCAAGCAAAUGCAUGUUGAUGAUUUCAAAGAUUAGUUUGGUUUUAAGGUUUAUUGGUGAAUUAGAGAAGAAGCUCGGGUUUAUUUAAAGGAGAAAAUGGGCCAAGAUUUGGAACAGUGGCAUUGGCGCAUCAUCGUGUGACUCCAAAUCUUCAUUGCUAAUUGCUACUAUGGCUUUAUGAAUCUUGAAGAAAAGGAAGUGUGGAGAAGAUGAAGAAGAAAGCAUAAAAUGGGAAAAAAAAAAAAAAGAACAAAAAAAGGUUAAAAAUUAACCAGAAAAUUAAAAAAUAAAAAAAAGUGAAAAAGAAAUUUGUUUCUCUUAUUUUAAAAAGAAGUAUCUUUUUAAUGCUUCUGCAAUUAAAAAAUUAACUAAUUAAAAAAACGAAAAUUGUCAAUUCGGG